CUACACAAAGACAUGCUUGCGGCACAUAUCAUAACCUUACCUAAGCCAGGCAAACCCCUACCCACCCCCAAAAUUUUAGACCCAUAUCAUUGCUAAACACAGAUGCCAAAAUCUUUGCAAAACUACUGGCUAGACUAGGGGCCCUCGUGCCUUACAUAAUCCAUACUGAUCAGGUGGGCUUCGUGGCUGGGAGACAAGGACCGGAAAACACACGCAAAGUUCUGGACAUAAUGUAUAGCCUUAACCAGCUUAAGAUAGGGGGAGGACUCCUUGUAUCCCUGGACGUGGAGAAGGCGUUUAACCCCCUGCAUUGGAAAUUCUUGGGGGCGGUCAUGUGCAGAUUCCAAAUCCCGGGUGUGUUUCUCUCAGCAGUACAGGCACUAUAGGCCCAGGUACUGAACACCGGGUUUCUCUCAGAACCACUCCAAAUAACCAAUGGGACGAGGCAGGGAUGUCCGGUUUGACCACUGUUGUACGUAAUGGCAUUAGAGCCACUGACACACCGCAUACGGGGUAUCCAAAUGGGAGGCAAAGAAUAUGAAGCUAACCUUAUUGCCAACGACGUAUUGCUAACCCUAACACACCCCCAAAUAUCCUUCCCUAAUCUCCUAAACGAAAUUGCGGUUUAUGGAGAAAAUUCAUAUUAUAAAUUUAAUGUGCUAAAAACCCAGGCCAUGGGGAUGGGAAUGAAAGCGGACACACUAAAAGUCCUAAAGGAAACCUUCACCCUGGACUGGAGGGAUGACUACGUCACCUUCCUGGGAAUAAAAAUUACAAAAAAUUUUGAUAAUCUAUACCAGUCUAAUUAUGAAGCAUUAAAAACAGAGCUGACUAUCACAUUACGAAACUAUGAGGCAAAUACUUGACAUGGAGAGGCAGAAAUGCAGCAGUGAAAAAGUGGCUAAAACUCCAAUACCUCUUCAGGACCUUACAAAUUAAACUACCUAUGACCUUCCUAGACAAUGUGCAGAGGCAGAUAGUACAAUUUAUCUGUGCCAAAAAGAGAAUUAGAGUAGCGAACCAAAAUUUUACAAUGCCCGGUUGAUGAAGGAGGGCUGGGUUUACCCAACAUCCGACUAUACUACAGGGCAGCUAUAUUGUCAUCUAUUCUGACGACCCAUGAUGAGCAGUGACCACCACAAUGGGUGGAGAUAGAGUCUCACUGGG